ACCGGCUAACUCCGUGCCAGCAGCCGCGGUAAUACGGAGGGUGCGAGCGUUAAUCGGAAGUUACUGGGCGUAAAGCGCAUGCAGGUGGUUUGUUAAGUCAGAUGUGAAAGCCCGGGGCUCAACCUCGGAAUUGCUAUUUAGAAACUGGCAGACUAGAGUACUGUAGAGGGGGUAGAAUUUCAGGUGUAGCGGUGAAAAUGCGUAGAGAUCUGAAGGAAUACCGGUGGCGAAGGCGGCCCCCUGGACAGAUACUGACACUCAGAUGCGAAAGCGUGGGGAGCAAACAGGAUUAGAUACCCUGGUAG
rnacentral:rRNA from 1 species